rnacentral:lncRNA from 1 species
GUAGAUUCAUGAGUCUUAUCCCAGGCCUAAUGAAUCAGAAUAUCUGGAAUGUGUGGGAAGCUGACUCAAGCAUAUGCAUCUUUUAAAAACUCAGAUUGUUCUUCUGCCCCGAAAUCUUGAGAACCACUGACUUAUGUGGUCAGAAGUGAUCGACUCCCUGGGCUGGGAAGCUCCAAUUUUCUCCUCCAGAUUUCCUGUGUCGCCCUCUCCUCCCUGUCCUCUGCCCCAUUAGGGAGGAUGCAUGGAUUCCUUCAGCAAGCUCUUUGUCCUUCGGUUUCCAGUUCCUUGAGGAAUUUGUUCAUCGUCUACUGGGCCUGUUAUGUCAUUUUCAGUUUUGCCUCUGCUCUCUGCCUGGAAUGUUCCAUAAUUGCUUUUCAGGUUCAGCAUUCCUGGUGGAAGCAAUCUGGGCCUGGUUAAAGGAAGUGGCUGUUCCAAAAGUAGAAGGGCAGACAAAGCCAAAUCUGGAGGAUUUCACGGGAAAGGACCACAAACUCUGCUCCUUUUAAAUUUCGUUGAAGAAUGUCAGCAAAUUACAAUUGUUCAAAA